UUGGUUAAGUUAGAAAGGGCGCACGGUGGAUGCCUUGGCACUAGGAGCCGAAGAAGGACGGGACUAACACCGAUAUGCUUUGGGGAGCUGUACGUAAGCGUUGAUCCAGAGAUUUCCGAAUGGGGGAACCCACUAUCUUUAGUCGGAUAGUAUCCUUACGUGAAUACAUAGCGUAAGGAAGGCAGACCCAGGGAACUGAAACAUCUAAGUACCUGGAGGAAGAGAAAGAAAAAUCGAUUUCCUGAGUAGCGGCGAGCGAAACGGAAAGAGCCCAAACCAAGAAGCUUGCUUCUUGGGGUUGUAGGACACUCUAUACGGAGUUACAAAAGAAAGUUAUAAAUGAAGCGGUCUGGAAAGGCCCGCCAAAGACGGUAACAGCCCGGUAGUUGAAAUGGCUUUCCCUCCAGAGUGGAUCCUGAGUACGGCGGAACACGUGAAAUUCCGUCGGAAUCCGGGAGGACCAUCUCCCAAGGCUAAAUACUCCCUAGUGACCGAUAGUGAACCAGUACCGUGAGGGAAAGGUGAAAAGCACCCCGGAAGGGGAGUGAAACAGUUCCUGAAACCGUGUGCCUACAAGUAGUUAGAGCCCGUUAAUGGGUGAUAGCGUGCCUUUUGUAGAAUGAACCGGCGAGUUACGAUUUGUUGCAAGGUUAAGCGGAAAAAGCGGAGCCGUAGCGAAAGCGAGUCUGAAUAGGGCGCAUAAGUAACAGGUCGUAGACCCGAAACCAGGUGAUCUACCCAUGUCCAGGAUGAAGGUAAGGUAAUACUUACUGGAGGUCCGAACCCACGCACGUUGAAAAGUGCGGGGAUGAGGUGUGGGUAGCGGAGAAAUUCCAAUCGAACUUGGAGAUAGCUGGUUCUCUCCGAAAUAGCUUUAGGGCUAGCCUCGAGGUAAAGAGUCAUGGAGGUAGAGCA
rnacentral:rRNA from 1 species